rnacentral:rRNA from 1 species
AUGUCAGUUUCAGAUACGAACCUUAAUAAUGUAGAAAAGCCCAUCUCCGAAACUACCGAUGCGGAACUCGCCGAAAAGCAUGGUCAUAUGAAGUUAGUAUGCUCACAGACAAGGUUCGGAAAAACCAUGAAACUGUUGUCAGAAGACCACAAAAAGUACAUCAUAUCAGAAACCAGUCUUGGUGGACUAACCCAGAUGCAUGAAGUGACUCUACGUCGCAUAAUGUUGGUUAGACUAGCCAAGAGCAUAGAUAUGGACACGAAAUCCAUUACCAUCGGUAAAACACCAAUUCCUAUAACAAAAGAGGACGUGCAAGGUAUAUUUGGCAUUCCGAUAGAAGGGGAGGAUAUAGAGCCACAUCUGGAAAAUCAAACCGACACAGAAUUGUUUACCGCCUAUGCAAACAAUGGGCAAAUUUUGAUUUCUGACCUUGAAACAGUGAUCUGA